rnacentral:rRNA from 1 species
AACGAACGCUGGCGGCGUGUCUUAAGCAUGCAAGUCGAGCGGCAAGGCGGGGCAACCCGCCCUAGAGCGGCGGACUGGUGAGUAACACGUGGGUGAUCUACCCUUGGUUUGGGGAUAGCCCGUGGAAACAUGGGGUAAUACCGAAUACGUCGUCCUGGCUACGGCCUGGACGGGAAAGGCGCCAAGGCGCCGACCGAGGAUGAGCCCGCGCCCCAUUAGCUAGUUGGUGAGGUAACGGCCCACCAAGGCGAUGAUGGGUAGCCGGCCUGAGAGGGUGUACGGCCACACUGGGACUGAGAUACGGCCCAGACUCCUACGGGAGGCAGCAGCUAAGAAUAUUCCGCAAUGGACGAAAGUCUGACGGAGCGACGCCGCGUGGAUGAAGAAGGCCGAAAGGUUGUAAAAUCCUUUUGUCGGGGAAGAAUAAGCCUGGGAGGGAAUGCCCGGGUGAUGACAUGAACCGGCGAAUAA